UACGGAGGAGGCAAGCGUUAUCCGGAAUUAUUGGGCGUAAAGCGUCCGUAGCUGGUCGUUUCAAGUCUGCUGUCAAAGACCGGGGCUUAACCCCAGAAAGGCGGUGGAAACUGAACAGCUAGAGAGAGGUAGGGGUAGAGGGAAUUCCCAGUGUAGCGGUGAAAUGCGUAGAUAUUGGGAAGAACAUCAGUGGCGAAAGCGCUCUACUGGACCUUAUCUGACAUUGAGGGACGAAAGCUAGGGGAGCGAAUGGG
rnacentral:rRNA from 1 species